UUGGAGGGCAAGUCUGGUGCCAGCAGCCGCGGUAAUUCCAGCUCCAAUAGCGUAUAUUAAAGUUGUUGCAGUUAAAAAGCUCGUAGUUGAAUUUCGGGAUCAGUACGCUGGUCAUGCCUUCGGUAUGUACUGGUCUUUCUGAUUCCUCCUUCCUGAUGAACUGUAAUGCCAUUAAUUUGGUGUUGCAGGGAAUCUGGACUGUUACUUUGAAAAAAUUAGAGUGUUUAAAGCAGGCUAACGCUUGAAUACAUUAGCAUGGAAUAAUGAAAUAGGACGUUCGAUUCUAUUUUGUUGGUUUCUAGGAUCGACGUAAUGAUUAAUAGGGAUAGUUGGGGGCAUUAGUAUUCAAUUGUCAGAGGUGAAAUUCUUGGAUUUAUUGAAGACUAACUACUGCGAAAGCAUUUGCCAAGGAUGUUUUCAUUGAUCAAGAACGAAAGUUAGGGGAUCGAAGACGAUCAGAUACCGUCGUAGUCUUAACCAUAAACUAUGCCGACUAGGGAUCGGAUGAUGUUAAUUUUUUAAUGACUCAUUCGGCGCCUUACGGGAAAC
rnacentral:rRNA from 1 species